rnacentral:rRNA from 1 species
AUUGAACGCUGGCGGCAGGCCUAACACAUGCAAGUCGAGCGAGCGGCGGACGGGUGAGUAAUGUAUGGGAAUCUGCCCGAUGGAGGGGGAUAACUACUGGAAACGGUAGCUAAUACCGCAUACUAUCGGAUGAACCCAUAUGGGAUUAGCUAGUAGGGGGGGUAACGGCUCACCUAGGCGACGAUCCCUAGCUGGUCUGAGAGGAUGACCAGCCACACUGGAACGGAGACACGGCCCAGACUCCUACGGGAGGCAGCAGUGGGGAAUAUUGCACAAUGGGCGCAAGCCUGAUGCAGCCAUGCCGCGUGUGUGAAGAAGGCCUUCGGGUUGUAAAGCACUUUCAGCGGGGAGGCGUUACCCGCAGAAGAAGCACCGGCUAACUCCGUGCCAGCAGCCGCGGUAAUAC